AGCAGCCGCGGUAAUUCCAGCUCCAAUAGCGUAUAUUAAAGUUGUUGCAGUUAAAAAGCUCGUAGUUGAAUUUCGAGACCGGUCUACUGGUCGUGCUUUUGUACGUACUGGUAUAAUCGGUUUCUCUCUUCUGACGAACUAUAAUGCCAUUAAUUUGGUGUUUUAGGGAAUCAGGACUGUUACUUUGAAAAAUUAGAGUGUUUAAAGCAGGCUCACGCUUGAAUACAUUAGCAUGGAAUAACGAAAUAGGACGUUUGAUUCUAUUUUGUUGGUUUCUAGGAUCGACGUAAUGAUUAAUAGGGAUAGUUGGGGGCAUUAGUAUUCAAUUGUCAGAGGUGAAAUUCUUGGAUUUAUUGAAGACUAACUACUGCGAAAGCAUUUGCCAAGGAUGUUUUCAUUAAUCAAGAACGAAAGUUAGGGGAUCGAAGACGAUCAGAUACCGUCGUAGUCUUAACCAUAAACUAUGCCGACUAGGGAUCGGAUGAUGUUAAAUUAAUGACUCAUUCGGCACCUUACGGAA
rnacentral:rRNA from 1 species